rnacentral:rRNA from 1 species
AGAUCGAACUGAAGAGUUUGAUCCUGGCUCAGAUUGAACGCUGGCGGCAUGCCUUACACAUGCAAGUCGAACGGUAACAGGUUAAGCUGACGAGUGGCGAACGGGUGAGUAAUAUAUCGGAACGUGCCCA